rnacentral:rRNA from 1 species
GAUUGAACGCUGGCGGCAGGCUUAACACAUGCAAGUCGAGCGGGGUGAUGGUGCUUGCACUAUCACUUAGCGGCGGACGGGUGAGUAAUGCUUAGGAAUCUGCCUAUUAGUGGGGGACAACAUUUCGAAAGGAAUGCUAAUACCGCAUACGUCCUACGGGAGAAAGCAGGGGAUCUUCGGACCUUGCGCUAAUAGAUGAGCCUAAGUCGGAUUAGCUAGUUGGUGGGGUAAAGGCCUACCAAGGCGACGAUCUGUAGCGGGUCUGAGAGGAUGAUCCGCCACACUGGGACUGAGACACGGCCCAGACUCCUACGGGAGGCAGCAGUGGGGAAUAUUGGACAAUGGGCGCAAGCCUGAUCCAGCCAUGCCGCGUGUGUGAAGAAGGCCUUAUGGUUGUAAAGCACUUUAAGCGAGGAGGAGGCUACUUUAGUUAAUACCUAGAGAUAGUGGACGUUACUCGCAGAAUAAGCACCGGCUAACUCUGUGCCAGCAGCCGCGGUAAUACAGAGGGUGCAAGCGUUAAUCGGAUUUACUGGGCGUAAAGCGCGCGUAGGCGGCUAAUUAAGUCAAAUGUGAAAUCCCCGAGCUUAACUUGGGAAUUGCAUUCGAUACUGGUUAGCUAGAGUGUGGGAGAGGAUGGUAGAAUUCCAGGUGUAGCGGUGAAAUGCGUAGAGAUCUGGAGGAAUACCGAUGGCGAAGGCAGCCAUCUGGCCUAACACUGACGCUGAGGUGCGAAAGCAUGGGGAGCAAACAGGAUUAGAUACCCUGGUAGUCCAUGCCGU